AAAAUACAGUUUCCCAUCUUAUGGAGAAAUAAAAAUUCUAUUCAUAUCUUGGAGAAGAAGCAGUGAGGAAAGUUAUUAAAUAUCACAUUAUCUUUUGAUAGAGGAAUAGAUGCAGAAUUAUUGCUGGUAGCAGUUUAGAUGUUUAGAUCUUUAAUUCAUAUUGAACAAUGGGAAAACAAAAGAUGGGAAAAAAUAUUAUUCAUGCUGCAAAUAUUUUGGUUUUGCUUUUUUUAUCUGCAUGCAAACCAUCUAUUUUGUUUGACACAGGUCGUUUUCUUGUCAUUGUACAUGCCAUUCCCACUGUGGUAUUACAGAUACGCAAAACAGAUAAACAGAAGAAGCAAAUAAAUAGUGUUCAGUGUAAUGAAUGCAAUUUAUAAUUAAGAUGGACAGGGGAAAGAUUUGAAGAUGAGGCUUAGAAAAAUUACAAGUCCUGAUGUUCAACUUGUUUCUAACUUUGUCUGUGCACCACUGAUAAAAUAGAAUGAGAAAAGUCUUUAUAAAGUAAAUGAUAUAUUAUUACACAAAAUAAUAGGAACAUGCACUGCUGUAAGUAUGAAUUAGGCAUCCUGUGGUUGACUUCUGCAUCAUAUAAACAUACUAGUCAGUCCAAAACUGAAAACAGAGACAGGAAUUCAGUAAUCAGUGUCCCUUGUGCAGCUAUUAGUGACUCCCAAAAUUCCUUGCAAUAAAGUACCCAUAUGGAACUAUUAAUGUAAGUAAAGCAAACUGUCAGAGCAGCCUAUAUAUGAUGAGUAAUAAUAUAUUUUCCGGAAUUGGAGAGUAUAAAUACAAAAAGUACCAUUAAAGGUCACUGAAUUCAAUUAGAUUUUUCUAUUGCAUUUGUUGGCAUUGAAUCCUGAUGGAAAAGGAAGACUUGCUUAAUAUAAUGUGUAAAAUAAUACAUAUGAGUACAUGAUUGUUAAUCAUGCUACCAGUACACUGCACCUUUUGAGUGAAGGCCUAAAACAGAAUUUCUGUGAUUGGAUUUGGAAAUUUUUGGGAUGGGAAAUUUGCUUCUAGAACAUUAUGGAAUUUCAAAGAUGCUUCAGUGCUGACAAUUCUUCUUGCAUAGUGUGGACACAUGCUUAAGUACAUUAUUGUCCUGCUUACUAGUUUGGUGUGGUAUUCAGCAGCAGAUUUUGGCAUUCUUUACUAGAACAUUAAUCCAUAAGGAUUAAUAUAAUCAAUAUAAUUUAUUUCCAAAUUGAUGCUGAUCCAAGAAUAACUUCAUUCUGAUGAAGUACCACUCUCUUCAUUUACUCAGCUGGUCCCUUUCUGUAUUAAAUUCUAUAACUAUAAGUCAUUAAUAUAUUUCCAAAUUUAUUAAUACCGUCUAAGUCAAAUUAAGCCAAUAAAUUGAGCAGUUCUCAGUUCUCUUGUUUAUUACAUUGGAUCCUAGCACAGGCAGACAAUUUCAGACAUUUCUAUAUUUUGUGCUCCUUAGUGCCUUGAUUAAGACUGCUCUCAAGACUGACAUUUCUCUAAAAGUAUGUCUUGUUCUUAUCAGUUUUUGUUGUAAAUUUAACAAUAUUUUGAUCAAUUAAAAAGACCAGUGAGACAGAGAUAAUUAAUCCUGUGUAUUUACUUCUCUGCUCAGGAGGUGGAACAUAUUGCCUUCCACAAAUGAUAGCUUCUGCAAAAAGAAACAUUUCUCUUUACCAUACUUGUCUUACUGGUGCUUCUGCCUUUUCUCUCCUCUUAUACCCAGGGAAAGGCAGCAAUGGGAGGUGCAGACCAGCCACAAGGAGAUAUGAUGAAGCUUAUUAGUAGGAUUCCUAGUAGUUCUACAGCCUAAGGACAACCCAAAGAAUCUGUAGCUAUCUACAGAGUUCCUUCAUCGUUUGAGUUAGCUCAUGGAUCUUUCCUGAUCCUGGAGGAUCCAGUUGUUAGUAUGCCCAUCCUUCAAGUAAUCUACUCCCAGGCAAAUAAUUCCUUGUUUUUAGAGGUUUAGAAGAGACCAUGACCCUCUCUGAGUACUAAUGCAUUAUGAUACUUGGGUUCAGUGUGAAGUGUUUCACACUUUUAUAGCACUGGCAUGUUAUUAAAAGCUAAUAUGAAGCUCCAAAGCUUCCAAUUCAUGUAUGUUGCUAUUUUGUGUAUUUUUAAAAGACUAUUCCAAAAACCAGUCAUAUGAAUAUAAUGACUAGUUGACCUCCCAAGAAAUUUGGGUUGCUCUGAGGCAAAACAUAGGGUAUAAUUUUAGAAUAGAGGGUUUUUGUUUUUUUUUUAAUUUGUAAAUGCUUAGCAGAUUAAGGAAAUUGACAAAUUAAUUAAAUUUGUCAAACAUACAGAGCUCUGAGUGUACAGUAAUUACUCAUGGCUACAGCAUAGAGAUCUUUGGAAAAUAGUAUGUUUGGUGUUUAACAACUCAUUUUUUUAAGUGUUAUUAGGAAAUGUAGUAGGCACAAACAGAAAUUAAUCUACUUAUCUAUAUAUUUUACAUAGACUAUGUUUUUGGUCAAAAUAAUAUAACUUAUUUUAUGACAGAAGUAAAAAUAACAUUUAUUCCCUUUCAAUGUCUUGCUAAAUUAUCUAAAUCUGAAUUUGAUGAAUAUGGCUGACCAGACUGACAUAUAUUUAGUGACCCUGAACUAAAAACAAACAAACAAAAAAAUUCAAUGCAGUUUUGCUGCUGUCACAAAAUUGCAGUGACAUACUUCUGCUCACCAGCAGCC
rnacentral:lncRNA from 1 species